UUUAAAUGUUAAAUAAUUUACUAAAGUAGUAUUAGUUAUGAUCUUGAAAUUUAAAAAUUUUGGCGGUAUUUCAGUCUAUUUAGAGGAACCUGUUCUGUAAUUGAUAAUCCACGAUUAACUUUACUUAUUUUAUAAAUUUGUAUACCGUCGUUAUUAGAAAAUUUUAAUAGAAAAUAAAUUUUUAAUAUUUUAUAUUAAAAAAUAUAUCAGAUCAAGGUGCAGUAUAUAUUUAAGAAGAAAUGGGUUACAAUAAAAAUAUUUAUAUGAAUUUAAGUAAGAAUAAGCUUUUUGAAGGUGGAUUUAAUAGUAAUAAAAUUAAAUUAAAUUUUAUGAUUUUAGCUCUGAGAUAUGU
rnacentral:rRNA from 1 species